rnacentral:rRNA from 1 species
CCUACGGGUGGCAGCAGUGAGGAAUAUUGGUCAAUGGACGAGAGUCUGAACCAGCCAAGUAGCGUGAAGGAUGACUGCCCUACGGGUUGUAAACUUCUUUUAUAUGGGAGUAAAAUGUUCCACGUGUGGGAUUUUGUAUGUACCAUAUGAAUAAGGAUCGGCUAACUCCGUGCCAGCAGCCGCGGUAAUACGGAGGAUCCGAGCGUUAUCCGGAUUUAUUGGGUUUAAAGGGGGCGUAGGGAGAUUGUUAAGUCAGUUGUGAAAGUUUGCGGCUCAACCGUCAAAUUGCCGUUGAAACUGGAAGUCUUGAGUGCGGUAGAGGUGGGCGGAAUGCGUGGUGUAGCGGUGAAAUGCAUAGAUAUCACGAAGAACUCCGAUUGCGAAGGCAGCACACUGGCGUGCAACUGACACUGAGGCACGAAAGUGUGGGUAUCGAACAGGAUUAGAUACCCGAGUAGUC